UAGAUAAAUACAAUCUGCCAUACAUUCCAAACAGUAAGCAUGUUCUAAAUAGUAUAGUUAAUAUUUCACAGACUGUUGUUCUUAGGUUGAACAAUAUGAAAGUGAAAGCAAAAGACCAUAAUUAACAGAUGAGAUAACCUAUACCAAGCAUUAACAAUAUAUCAUAGUGUGCAUGCAUUGUCAAAUUAUUUGUAAAUGUGAACUCGAUUUAAACGGUGGCAAUAUGAAACCACAUUAUAUCAUAUUGUUGGUUUUUAUGCUUGCGCAGCACACUCACACCAGCGCAUUUCACUAUACAUUACUUCUCUCUAACAGUAUGACAAAAAGUUGCACGUGUUUGUAAUUGUGAUCGACAUUAUUGAAUAGAACAUGCAUCGCGUGUUCCUAAUUUCUCGUAAAAUGUUUUAGAAAGGUCUGUUAUCUUUUUAUUCGUUUUUGCCAAAUAACAUUAGCACUUGCACUUGCAAAACUGAAUAUUUAAAAUAUGUUUUGUAUCCGCUGGCACUUUAAUAUAGUCUAAUUUAAUUUGUUUUCAGCGUUUAUGAAUCUUUGAAUAAAAACUAAAAUAAUAUAUAAUCGAGAUUUUGUUUAAAUUGAGCGUAGGUCCAGGUAGGACAUUCUCGAAUGUUACGCGAGUUUCGCAUAACAACAGUGAAAAUCACCACUUCAUCAUCGCGAGAUAAAAGUUGAUCCGAACCGGGACGGGAUCCGAACAACAAAUUCGCAAGUCCACUAAAAAAACGGUCCAUUUUCAACCCCAGAAGCAGAAGCAUCUUGAAGCCUGUCUUGAAGGUUGCAGAAAAUCGUCGGAUACGUCAUACUCGGAAGAUCGGUGCCGAAUAGGCCGAGAAUAGGCAAUCUGCCGCUGAAGGAAGACCCUAAACUGAUUCGAAUCAGAUCCGGCAACAUCCGUAGAACAGCGUUAUAAAAGAAGGAGGAACCUCGAAUUGUUCACAGGCCGGGUGUGAAACCCGCUGCCGGAUUCGGUCAACCGAGUGCAGCAACCAGGCUUCUCUUACUCUCACUCUGUAAUGAAGGUGCCAGCAAAGAAGGAAGAGCCUUCAAACAAUAGUUCUGACGACCAUGAGGAAGAACCCAAAUCAGCACCGGCGAAAGCUGCAGCUGUACCGAAAAACGAGGAAGAAGAGCCAACAGUGGAACCUUUGUGAAUCCACGAAUAUAAGAAACCGGACACAAACAGUUGUUGCUACCUACCGUGGCUGCCAAGCAACAGAUUCUGACCAAGUACAAAGUCGAGUGGAGGUUCUAGCGAUCGCUAGCCUCGAGGCGCUAGAGGAACAACCGCCGGUAAAAGGAAGCCGUAGCGGUGACUUCUUCAAAGAAAAAUCUUGAAUCGUCCAGCGUAGAUUCUUCGGAUUCCGACGCGGAAUUCAAAGGGGAACUAGCCGACAAAGAGGUCAGUGUGUCAGUCAGUUCAACAACUAUGCGUUGUCGGCGUUAAUGCAAG